AACGAACGCUGGCGGCGUGCCUAACACAUGCAAGUCGUGCGAGAAAGUUCCUUCGGGAGCGAGUAAAGCGGCGCACGGGUGAGUAACACGUAGGUAACCUGCCCCCCAGUCUGGAACAACUAGAGGAAACUCUAGCUAAUGCCGGAUGAGACCACGAUCCCCUUCGGGGGGUUGCGGCCAAAGAUGGCCUCUACUUGUAAGCUAUCGCUGAGGGAUGGGCCUGCGGGCCAUUAGCUUGUUGGUGAGGUAACGGCUCACCAAGGCUGUGAUGGCUGGCUGGUCUGAGAGGAUGACCAGCCACACUGGGACUGAGACACGGCCCAGACUCCAACGGGA
rnacentral:rRNA from 1 species